rnacentral:pre_miRNA from 1 species
UUUAUGUUGAAGACUUCAACUUGCAGACUUAAAGAAUUUGAAGACUUCAACUUGCAGACUUAAAGAAUUUGAAGACUUCAACU